AACGUAGGUUCCGAGCGUUAUCCGGAUUUACUGGGCGUAAAGCGCGUUCAGGCGGUUUGGCAAGUCGGGCAUGAAAUCUCUCGGCUCAACCGGGAGAGGUUGUCCGAUACUGUUAGACUGGAGGGCAGUAGAGGUGAGUGGAAUUCCUGGUGUAGCGGUGAAAUGCGUAGAUAUCAGGAGGAACACCUGUGGCGAAAGCGGCUCACUGGACCACAACUGACGCUGAGGCGCGAAAGCUAGGGGAGCAAACAGG
rnacentral:rRNA from 1 species